rnacentral:rRNA from 1 species
AGGACGAACGCUGGCGGCGUGCUUAACACAUGCAAGUCGAGCGGAAAGGCCCUUCGGGGUACUCGAGCGGCGAACGGGUGAGUAACACGUGGGCAACCUGCCCUUAGCUCUGGGAUAGCUCCGGGAAACCGGAAUUAAUACCGGAUAUGACCUAGGCCGACAUCGGCCGUGGUGGAAAGUUUUUCGGCUAGGGAUGGACUCGCGGCCGAUUAGUUAGUUGGCGGGGUAAUGGCCCACCAAGACGAUGAUCGGUA